rnacentral:rRNA from 1 species
GACGAACGCUGGCGGCGUGCUUAACACAUGCAAGUCGAACGAAGUGGCGAACGGGUGAGUAACGCGUAAUCAACCUGCCCUUCAGAGGGGGACAACAGUUGGAAACGACUGCUAAUACCGCAUACUGAAGGAGGGGAUUGCGUCUGAUUGGCUAGUUGGGGGGGUAACGGCCCACAAAGGCGAUGAUCGGUAGCCGGUCUGGGGAGAGGAACGGCCACAUUGGGACUGGGACAAGGGCCAGACUCCUACGGGAGGCAGCCGGGGGGAAUCUUCCGGAAUGGAGGGAAGUCUGACGGAGCAACGCCGCGUGAGUGAGGACGGGCUUCGGGUUGUAAAGCUCUGUUAAUCGGGACGCGGUACCGGAAUAGAAAGCCACGGCUAACUACGUGCCAGCAGCCGCGGUAAUAC